rnacentral:rRNA from 1 species
GACGAACGCUGGCGGCGUGCUUAACACAUGCAAGUCGAACGGAAAGGCCCUGCUUGCAGGGUACUCGAGUGGCGAACGGGUGAGUAACACGUGGGUGAUCUGCCCUGCACUUCGGGAUAAGCCUGGGAAACUGGGUCUAAUACCGGAUAGGAGCCAUUUUUAGUGUGAUGGUUGGAAAGUUUUUUCGGUGUAGGGUGAGCUCGCGGCCUAUCAGCUUGUUGGUGGGGUAAUGGCCUACCAAGGCGGCGACGGGUAGCCGGCCUGCGGGGGUGGACGGCCACAGUGGGACUGAGAAACGGCCCAGACUCCUAAGGGAGGCAACAGUGGGGAAUAUUGCACAAUGGGCGCAAGCCUGAUGCAGGGAAGCCGCGUGGGGGAAGACGGCCUUCGGGGUGGAAACUCCUUUCGCUAGGGACGGAGCUUUUUGUGACGGUACCUAGAUAAGAAGCACCGGCUAACUACGUG